UCGGAUGUUAUCCCCAAAUUCCAUUUUGUUCAUGUCCUGUUUUGAGUCUAUCUGCCUGAGUUGGGGUUUUACACCCACGACCUGUCUGUUUGUCACUUUUUUCCGUCUGGUUAGGGCGGUUCAAAAGUUCUAUUAUUUUUCCCCCCGUACUGGGUUAUCUCUUUUCACGGGGUAUAAGGACUCCAUAAAGGGAUGGAUGGAGAAUUUCCUUGUGGUGGAGUUAAAAUUAGGGUCCGCCAGAACGUGGGAGGUGGAUCUAAGUUGGGGGGAGAUCUUUCCGGGUUGCAACGAGCUGCCCCAAU
rnacentral:lncRNA from 1 species